UGGAACCUCCUAGGUGGAGCAGAUUUCUUCAUGAAAUCUCAUUCCAGUAUCAACUAUUUCCAGUACCACGGCUCCCUCAGGACGUGAAAGAGCUGAAGUUCUGUCCUUCAGAGUUUUCCACCCAUUCUCUGAAGGUCUUGCUGAAGACUGCACACACUUGGUUGUCAACAGAGUGUAAGUUCACACUUGCCUCAACUAUUGUUUAUACACAGGGCUAUGUAUGUGAAGAGAUCUUUCUUGAAAGAUGGGCAAGUGCGGAGUUUAGGAAACCACUGCCUCUCCCUUUAUUCACCAGUUGGAUCCAUGAUGCCCUGCUGGCAAAGCCUUCCCUCAUCCCCAAGGAGUUGGCAGGGGGAGGCCCAUUAAAGGAAGUGGCUUUACGGCUGGGUGUCUGGUGUCCAAUCUUAUGGACUGUUACAGAUUAAGCUAGCUGUGCAUUUGGAAAUGUUGGUAUUUUACAUCUUUAUAAACCAAUGCUGAAAAGAUCAUUUCUGCCAUUCUCUCCUAUCUCAAACCAUGGAUGAGAAAGAGCUUAGUUCUCCAACCAAGAGCUAGACCACCCUCAGGAACGCUACACGGAUCAGCUGCCUUGCUUGGGAAGGUACCCCUGGUGCUGCCAGCAUUUCUCCAGUCAAAAGGGGUUUGGCCUGAGCUCUGUGCUGCAGUAACUGAUACAGGCCCAGGCUCUCCAAGCCAAGGAGCCAGGUUUGGUGAGGGGACCAUCCCAUUGCUCAACAGAUUCUUAAAGACAUUUGAAGAAAGAAAGUCUCCUCUGCCAGUCUUGGACACUUACGAUUCUGGGUCUAAAAGGUGGUUCUACUUGGCGAUGGUUCAGCUGGGCCCA